rnacentral:rRNA from 1 species
UGGGGAAUUUUGGACAAUGGGGGAAACCCUGAUCCAGCCAUCCCGCGUGUGCGAUGAAGGCCUUCGGGUUGUAAAGCACUUUUGGCAGGAAAGAAACGUCAUGGGUUAAUACCCCGUGAAACUGACGGUACCUGCAGAAUAAGCACCGGCUAACUACGUGCCAGCAGCCGCGGUAAUACGUAGGGUGCAAGCGUUAAUCGGAAUUACUGGGCGUAAAGCGUGCGCAGGCGGUUCGGAAAGAAAGAUGUGAAAUCCCAGAGCUCAACUUUGGAACUGCAUUUUUAACUACCGGGCUAGAGUGUGUCAGAGGGAGGUGGAAUUCCGCGUGUAGCAGUGAAAUGCGUAGAUAUGCGGAGGAACACCGAUGGCGAAGGCAGCCUCCUGGGAUAACACUGACGCUCAUGAACGAGAGCGUGGGGAGCAAACAGG